rnacentral:snoRNA from 1 species
ACGACCUUACUUGAACAGCAUCUGUUCUAUAGGUUCGGACCACUCUAACAUUGAGUAUUGUCUAAGGAGACAGGAAACUAAGUCUGGUGUAUGAGGCGUGGUUGUGAGACGCAGAGCAUGAUUAACAGUGCCCAUGGCUAUUUGGGGACCUUGGAUUAGUAGAGGAUCGUUCUCAACUCUGCUUGCCAGGCUUGAGAUGGUCUCAUAGCUGUCUGACAGACU